rnacentral:misc_RNA from 1 species
GGCAGAGGGAGAACGGAAUUUCAUAGCAAAAGACUAAGAAGAAAGAUUACAUAAAUAGCACCACAGGAAAUACAUCAACACAAACUGGCUAGAAAUUUCUCUCCUAAAUUUUCCAUUACAAGGAACUUGACAAGAGCACAAAUGGCUUCCAGAUUUUUAUCAUUUUCAUUCAAGAUUGGUGUGUCGAGAUCGGAUGGUCUCUGAGCUCUGUCCCAAAACUUCACCCAAUUUGUAAAUCACCAUCUCAAACAAUACAAACAAAGCUCCCUCAUAAACGCUUCCCAUCGGCAACAGCGGCCGAGAUGUCGCCUCUUCAUCAUUUGCCAUGGUCAGUGCUGGCACGUAGCAAACCACGCUCGCAUGCUUCACACAAGACCCGCUUUCAGGUUGAGCAGUCAGCAGUAACACUUUGGCACCAUUCGAUCUUGCCAGCGAACACAAGGCAUCGACGGUGGAGAAUCCCCCAGGUCCCGCAGAGGCGAUGAAGAGAUCGUUGGAGGCGAUUGGAGGAGUGGUCAUGUCGAAUACAAAGUGGGUGGAGAGACCAAGGUGGGCGAGCCGCAUGCAUAGGGCCUUAAGCAUCAGACCCUCCCUUCCCACUCCAUAGAGGAAAACACGGCCGUUCCGGGCGGCGGUGGCGGAGAGAUUAGUGACCAUCAGUUCUAGAGGAGGUGGAUGGGGAUCAGUGGGUUUGGAGAAAAUGGAGGCUAUGUGAUUGCAUAUCUGUGAGGCUAGAGAGAACAUUGAGGGAGCUUCCGCUGCCAUCGGCGUUGGAGGGGCUUCAAUCUUUUUUUUAACGGACUGGAUAAUCAUUGCA